rnacentral:rRNA from 1 species
CGCGGCAAGACGGAAAGACCCCGUGAACCUUUACUAUAGCUUGACACUGAACAUUGAGCCUUGAUGUGUAGGAUAGGUGGGAGGCUUUGAAGUGUGGACGCCAGUCUGCAUGGAGCCGACCUUGAAAUACCACCCUUUAAUGUUUGAUGUUCUAACGUGGACCCGUAAUCCGGGUUGCGGACAGUGUCUGGUGGGUAGUUUGACUGGGGCGGUCUCCUCCUAAAGAGUAACGGAGGAGCACGAAGGUUGGCUAAUCCUGGUCGGACAUCAGGAGGUUAGUGCAAUGGCAUAAGCCAGCUUGACUGCGAGCGUGACGGCGCGAGCAGGUGCGAAAGCAGGUCAUAGUGAUCCGGUGGUUCUGAAUGGAAGGGCCAUCGCUCAACGGAUAAAAGGUACUCCGGGGAUAACAGGCUGAUACCGCCCAAGAGUUCAUAUCGACGGCGGUGUUUGGCACCUCGAUGUCGGCUCAUCACAUCCUGGGGCUGAAGUAGGUCCCAAGGGUAUGGCUGUUCGCCAUUUAAAGUGGUACGCGAGCUGGGUUUAGAACGUCGUGAGACAGUUCGGUCCCUAUCUGCCGUGGGCGCUGGAGAACUGAGGGGGGCUGCUCCUAGUACGAGAGGACCGGAGUGGACGCAUCACUGGUGUUCGGGUUGUCAUGCCAAUGGCACUGCCCGGUAGCUAAAUGCGGAAGAGAUAAGUGCUGAAAGCAUCUAAGCACGAAACUUGCCCCGAGAUGAGUUCUCCCUGAGACUUAA